rnacentral:rRNA from 1 species
ACUCCUACGGGAGGCAGCAGUGGGGAAUAUUGCACAAUGGGGGAAACCCUGAUGCAGCCAUGCCGCGUGUGUGAAGAAGGCCUUCGGUUGUAAAGCACUUUCAGUAGGGAGGAAGGUAGUGUAGUUAACACCUGCACUAUUUGACGUUACCUACAGAAGAAGCACCGGCUAACUCCGUGCCAGCAGCCGCGGUAAUACGGAGGGUGCGAGCGUUAAUCGGAAUUACUGGGCGUAAAGCGCAUGCAGGCGGCCUGUUAAGUCAGAUGUGAAAGCCCGGGGUCUUAACCUCGGAAUUGCAUUUGAAACUGGCAGGCUAGAGUCUGUAGAGGGGUUAGAAUUUCAGGUGUAGCGGUGAAAUGCGUAGAGAUCUGAAGGAAUACCAGUGGCGAAGGCGGCCCCUGGACAAAGACUGACGCUCAGAUGCGAAAGCGUGGGAGCAAACAGGAUUAGAUACCCCGUGGUAGCACAGAG